GACGAACGCUGGCGGCGUGCUUAACACAUGCAAGUCGAACGGAAAGGCCCUGCUUUUGUGGGGUGCUCGAGUGGCGAACGGGUGAGUAACACGUGAGUAACCUGCCCUUGACUUUGGGAUAACUUCAGGAAACUGGGGCUAAUACCGGAUAGGAGCUCCUGCUGCAUGGUGGGGGUUGGAAAGUUUCGGCGGUUGGGGAUGGACUCGCGGCUUAUCAGCUUGUUGGUGGGGUAGUGUCUUACCAAGGCUUUGACGGGUAGCCGGCCUGAGAGGGUGACCGGCCACAUUGGGACUGCGCUACGGCCCAGACUCCUACGGGAGGCAGCAGUGGGGAAUAUUGCACAAUGGGCGGAAGCCUGAUGCAGCAACGCCGCGUGCGGGAUGACGGCCUUCGGGUUGUAAACCGCUUUCGCCUGUGACGAAGCGUGAGUGACGGUAAUGGGUAAAGAAGCACCGGCUAACUACGUG
rnacentral:rRNA from 1 species